rnacentral:ncRNA from 1 species
GAAAGCCUUAUGAUGGGAAACUACCACGUUAGGUUUGGAGAGAGAUGGGACCUGUUAUAGGAAACGUGCAGUCCUACUGAUCACGC